CUUUGAGAUAAUUAGUUAACAAAUUCAAAUUGUUCUUUUCAAUGCAUCAAAUUUAUUAUAUUGUACUGAGUUUAUAUUGAAGGCAUUCGAUUACUGAAAGUUUAGUCGUUUCUCAGAUCUCCACCACUUCGCACCAUGAGAAGAUUUUAUGUAUUCGUCCUGCUUUUGCUUCUCAGCUUGGCAUUUGCAGCGCCUGGAAAGCGUGGGCCUAGACCCAGAUCGCGUUCUUCUUCGAGUAAAGGGUCUACUUUUUUUCCACUGUCGAAAGGAUGUCUUAAAGCUUGUGUUGGUUAAAUGAAAUUUAUAAUGGAAUUUCUGUCUCCCAUUUGUAUAUAAUUUAAUAAAACUUUAAAUUUAAACUUAUAUCACUGAGAUGUCAUCAUCAUUUGGAAUUCGCAUUGUUUUGUAAAUCGCCAAUGUGAUUUUACAACUGGGUAUAAUAAUUAAUUUUCUUUUUUAAAGCAAUACCUCAAGUAGUUAAAGCGAAGAUUACGUUAUCACCGGAUAUUCUUUAUAAAAUUCCGCCGGCAAAUAUUAAU